GGCCUUGUAGCUCAAUCGGCAGAGCCGCCGGCUUUUAACCGGCAGGUUGCAGGUUCGAAUCCUGCCGGGGCCA
rnacentral:tRNA from 1 species